rnacentral:rRNA from 1 species
UCAGACGAUGCGUCAUGCAUAUCAAUAAGCGGAGGAAAAGAAACUAACAAGGAUUCCCCUAGUAACGGCGAGUGAAGCGGGAAGAGCUCAAAUUUGAAAUCUUAAAGGGUUUCCCUUUACGAAUUGUAGUUUAAAGAAGUGUUUUCUGUUGAGGUUUUGGUAAAAGUUCUUUGGAAUAGGACAUCAUAGAGGGUGAGAAUCCCGUAUUUGACCUUUACUUUCAACUUUGUGAUUACACUUUCAAAGAGUCGGAUUGUUUGGGAAUGCAGUCCAAAAUGGGUGGUAAAUUUCAUCUAAAGCUAAAUAUUGGCGAGAGACCGAUAGCGAACAAGUACCGUGAGGGAAAGAUGAAAAGAACUUUGAAAAGAGAGUUAAACAGUACGUGAAAUUGUCAAAAGGGAAGCGUUUGACACCAGUGUUGUUUUUCUGAAAAUCAAUUAAAGAACUGUUUAUGCUAAGCUGUUUAGACUUUAUCAGCUAUCUGUUUAGUUUUGAGCUUUUCUUUAAUGCACUUUUCAGUUAACAAGUCAACAUCAAUUUCUUUUGCUGUAAAAAAGCUUGAGGAAGGUGGCUUGAGAUUCGUCUUAAGUGUUUAUAGCCUCUUGCCUAUGCAGUCGGAGAGAUUGAGGUCUGCAGCGUAGAUCCUUCGGGGCUAAAUGCAUUUGUGCUAAGUUAUAGCAUUUCAUAGACAACUUGUUGACUAUGAUUUGUCUUGUAGCUUACUCGCUUAUGUUAUUUUACCUACGCUUAGGAUGUUGAAUCUGUGCGAGACUAC